CCAUGAUAAGAAGGGCUUAAAACCCUUUAGUCACUCUUAGGAUAAAGUCCAAACUUACACUACAUGACUUUAAAAGUCCUUACUUGCCCAGCCUAUCUCUCCACGUUCAUUUUUCCUCCCUCCUCCUUCACCAACACAUCCCAAGUCUCUUGUUUUCUCUUGUCUCUGAGCUUCUGUGCAUGCUGCUGAUUCUGUAGAACCCUCUUCCCUUCCACCUAGCCCUGUGCACUUGGCCUAUUUCUACUCAUGCUGAGAUUAAGUGACUCCUCCCAGGAAAAGCCUCCUCAGACUCCCCUGGACUAUGAAGGGCUCCUAAAGCACCCUAUACUUCUCCCAAUCUAAGCAUGGAUCACAUUUCACUUUUGUUUACUUUUUUUUAAAUCAGCUUUGUUGAGGUUUAAUUUACGUACAAUUAAAUUAGCCAAUUUAAGUGUAUAAUUUAAUACAUUUUAACAAAUGUAUCAGUUGCAUAACAACCACCACAAUCAAGAUACGAAACAGUUCUACCAGCCCAAAAAGUUCUAUUGUGCUUUUUUCCAGUCAAUCCUCUCACCACACCUCUGGUUUAAGAUUAGCCACUGAUCUGCUCUGUCACUAUAGUUCAACCUUCUCCAGAAUAUCAUAUAAAUGGAAUCAUACAUACAUACAUAGGCAGUCAUUUGUAGCUAGCUUCUUUCACUUAACAUAAUGCUUCUGACAUUCAUUCUUACUGUUGCAUGGAAGAGUAGUUAAUUUCUUUUUCUUUUUUUCCUUUUCUCUCUCGUUUUUUUUUUUUUUUUUUCUUUUCCUGCUGUGUAGCUUUCCAUUGCAUGGAUGUACCAGUUGUUUAUCCAUUCACCUGUUGUUUCCAAAAUGCUUGUUUCUAGUUUGGAGCUAUUAGGAGUACAGCUGCUAUGAAUAUUUGCUUACAAGUCUCUGUCUGGACAUAUAUUUUCAUUUUUCCUAGGCAAAGACCUCCGAGUAGGAUUGUUGGAUCAUAUAGUUUUGGUUACUACAAGUAAAGCUGUUAUGAAGAUGCAAGUACAAGUCUUUGUAAGAACAUGAAGCAUGGCAAUGUUAAUAUUAAUGUAGUAUUCAAAGCAAAAUGC
rnacentral:lncRNA from 1 species